GGGAAGGUGUAGCAUCCAAGGCUCACAUUCUCUAUCCUUUACACACCUGUGCACCCUUCUGAAGCGGAGAGUUAUUAGGCAUUAGCCGAGCGCCUCCCUUCGGUUAUUAUAUCAAACUCAAACUACGUUUACUAGAAUGUAUACCGUCUUGUUGUAACGACAAGUACAAUCCAAUA
rnacentral:misc_RNA from 1 species